UACGUAGGGGGCGAGCGUUGUCCGGAAUCAUUGGGCGUAAAGCGCGUGUAGGCGGUCCGGUAAGUCCGCUGUGAAAGUCGGGGGCUCAACCCUCGGAUGCCGGUGGAUACUGUCGGGCUUGAGUACUGAAGAGGCGAGUGGAAUUCCUGGUGUAGCGGUGAAAUGCGCAGAUAUCAGGAGGAACACCAAUGGCGAAGGCAGCUCGCUGGGACGUUACUGACGCUGAGACGCGAAAGCGUGGGGAGCAAACAGG
rnacentral:rRNA from 1 species